rnacentral:rRNA from 1 species
UACGUAGGUGGCAAGCGUUUGUCCGGAAUUAUUGGGCGUAAAGCGCGCGCAGGUGGUUUCUUAAGUCUGAUGUGAAAGCCCACGGCUCAACCGUGGAGGGUCAUUGGAAACUGGGGAACUUGAGUGCAGAAGAGGAAAGUGGAAUUCCAAGUGUAGCGGUGAAAUGCGUAGAGAUUUGGAGGAACACCAGUGGCGAAGGCGACUUUCUGGUCUGUAACUGACA